rnacentral:rRNA from 1 species
UACGUAGGGUGCAAGCGUUAAUCGGAAUUACUGGGCGUAAAGCGUGCGCAGGCGGUUAUGUAAGACAGAUGUGAAAUGCCCGGGCUUAACCUGGGAACUGCAUUUGUGACUGCAUGGCUAGAGUGUGUCAGAGGGGGGUAGAAUUCCACGUGUAGCAGUGAAAUGCGUAGAUAUGUGGAGGAAUACCGAUGGCGAAGGCAGCCCCCUGGGAUAACACUGACGCUCAUGCACGAAAGCGUGGGGAGCAAGCAGG